rnacentral:rRNA from 1 species
AGCUCCAAUAGCGUAUAUUAAAGUUGUUGCAGUUAAAAAGCUCGUAGUUGGAUUUGUGGCGUACGGCGGGCUCCCGUCGCUAUUUGGCGUCGGUGGUGCCUGGCAUUGCCAUCCUUGGGUGGAACCUGUGUGGCAUUAGGUUGUCGUGCAGGGGAUGCCCAUCGUUUACUGUGAAAAAAUUAGAGUGUUCAAAGCAGGCUUACGCCGUUGAAUAUAUUAGCAUGGAAUAAUAAGAUAGGACCUUGGUACUAUUUUGUUGGUUUGCGCACCGAGGUAAUGAUUAAUAGGGACAGUUGGGGGUAUUCGUAUUUCAUUGUCAGAGGUGAAAUUCUUGGAUUUUUGAAAGACGAACUACUGCGAAAGCAUUUACCAAGGAUGUUUUCAUUAAUCAAGAACGAAA